GUUGAUGAUUGUAUUGAUUCACCUCACCCUUGAACAGGUUGUUCUGAGCAACCUCAAAUCUAAUGUAACCACGCAAGUCAUCCUGGAAAGAUGCGCUAUGUAUCUGGAUCCUGACACAUUGGGCCAUGAUCUUAGUUCAUGUGACAUGAUGUUCAUCCCGGUUUGCGAGAAUAAUCACUAGCACGUGCAUGUUGUUAAUUUUGCAGCUGGAAGAGUUGAGAUACUUUCGUCAUUGCCCCUAAGGCGGGGCAACAACAUUAGUGCUGCAACGCGACGAUUAUCAAUGGCACUCCACAAAGCACUGCAUGCAUAUAGAAUCCAUAUGGAUGCGGAUGUCUCAAGUUUUGUGCAUGUCCAACCACACCUUCUCCAACAGCUGAAUGGGUCCGAUUGUGGUGUCCUCGUUAUAAAGUUCAUGGAAUUUUGGAAUGGGGCGACCUUAACUACUUUAGUGGCAGAGGUUAGAGUUGGUUUACACUGUCAAACUUGGACUGUUUUUCUUUGUUUUUUUCCCAACCGCAUGGAAUAAUUUUUUCCCAUUUCCGUAGGACAAGACGAACAUGUACAGACUCCAACUACUGCUGCAACUAGUGCUCAAUGAAUGCAACAGUGUCAGAGAUACAAUGAUGGCCGCAUGUCAUUUGUGACUUCAUAGUUCAUGAUAAGUUUCUUCCUAUCUGCUGCUACGUACCAAAAUGACCAAGGGUUGAUUGUAGUUUGUCCAAAAUUUAUUAAUUCAUAUCAUGUUGUGUGCUGAUGUGAUUUGUUCCAAUUGUAAAACCAUUAUUUAUGUUCUAUAUGUGAUGUAUCUGAUGAAGUAUUCCACAUCCCAUUGUAAAGUGGCAGUUGGGUUAUGCUGAAUAUGAGGACUUUAUGUACAAGAAUGGCCAACAUGUAAGGGAAAGGAAGAGUACCUGGUGAUGCUGCUGCUGGAGCAUAUGGGAUGCAGUAACAGCAGUGUAAUAGGGCUGUUCAUUUUUCCUUCAAUAUUGUAAAGGAAGGGAGUAGGAACAUGGACAACACUCAGUAUUUGUUCUUUUAUUAUAGUUAAGGGUGUUGGUAAGUGUUGUAUUGGCGACUGAUUGGACAACAACUGUGAUUGUAAGAUGUGAUCCAAAGUGAUAGGUUUAUUAUGGGGUAUGGUACUAAUUUCAUAAGAGAACAACAAACAUAGACUGGAACC